rnacentral:rRNA from 1 species
GACGAACGCUGGCGGCGUGCUUAACACAUGCAAGUCGAACGGAAAGGCCCCCUUGUGGGGUACUCGAGUGGCGAACGGGUGCGUAACACGUGAGUAACCUAUCCUUGACUUUGGGAUAACUUCAGGAAACUGGGGCUAAUACCGGAUAGGAGCUCCUGCUGCAUGGUGGGGGUUGGAAAGUUUCGGCGGUUGGGGAUGGACUCGCGGCUUAUCAGCUUGUUGGUGGGGUAGUGGCUCACCAAGGCUUUGACGGGUAGCCGGCCUGAGAGGGUGACCGGCCACAUUGGGACUGAGAUACGGCCCAGACUCCUACGGGAGGCAGCAGUGGGGAAUAUUGCACAAUGGGCGGAAGCCUGAUGCAGCAACGCCGCGUGCGGGAUGACGGCCUUCGGGUUGUAAACCGCUUUCGCCUGUGACGAAGCGUGAGUGACGGUAAUGGGUAAAGAAGCACCGGCUAACUACGUG